UACGGGGGGGGCAAGCGUUGUUCGGAAUUACUGGGCGUAAAGGGCUUGUAGGUGGCCAACUAAGUCAGACGUGAAAUCCCUCGGCUUAACCGGGGAACUGCGUCUGAUACUGGAUGGCUUGAGUGUGGGAGAGGGAUGCGGAAUUCCAGGUGUAGCGGUGAAAUGCGUAGAUAUCUGGAGGAACACCGGUGGCGAAGGCGGCAUCCUGGACCACGACUGACACUGAAAAGCGAAAGCCAGGGGAGCAAACGGG
rnacentral:rRNA from 1 species